rnacentral:rRNA from 1 species
CCUACGGUGGCAGCAGUGGGGAAUAUUGGACAAUGGGCGAAAGCCUGAUCCAGCCAUGCCGCGUGUGUGAAGAAGGCCUUCGGGUUGUAAAGCACUUUCAGUGGGGAAGAAAGCCUUGGGGCUAAUACCCUCGAGGAAGGACAUCACCCACAGAAGAAGCACCGGCUAACUCCGUGCCAGCAGCCGCGGUAAUACGGAGGGUGCGAGCGUUAAUCGGAAUUACUGGGCGUAAAGCGCGCGUAGGCGGUCUGAUAAGCCGGUUGUGAAAGCCCCGGGCUCAACCUGGGAACGGCAUCCGGAACUGUCAGGCUAGAGUGCAGGAGAGGAAGGUAGAAUUCCCGGUGUAGCGGUGAAAUGCGUAGAGAUCGGGAGGAAUACCAGUGGCGAAGGCGGCCUUCUGGACUGACACUGACGCUGAGGUGCGAAAGCGUGGGUAGCAAACAGGAUUAGAUACCCUUGUAGUC